UUACGAGGUCAGGACACUGUGAGGAUUGACAGAUUGAAAGCUCUUUCUUGAUUCAGUGGGUGGUGGUGCAUGGCCGUUCUUAGUUGGUGGAGUGAUUUGUCUGGUUAAUUCCGUUAACGAACGAGACCUUAACCUGCUAAAUAGUCACGCGAACCGGUCCGCAAGGGCUCAAAGUUCGCGGCUCGACUUCUUAGAGGGACUAUUCGCACCCGCCAGCGAAUGGAAGUUUGAGGCGAUAACAGGUCUGUGAUGCCCUUAGAUGUUCUCGGCCGCACGCGCGUUACACUGACGGAGUCAACGAGCGUUUUUCCUUGCCCGAUAGGGCCGGGUAACCUCCUGAAACUCCGUCGUGAUGGGGAUAGAUCAUUGCAAUUAUUGAUCUUGAACGAGGAAUUCCUAGUAAGCGCGAGUCAUCAACUCGCGCUGAUUACGUCCCUGCCCUUGUACACACCGCCCGUCGCUCCUACCGAUUGAACGGUCCGGCGAGAACUCCGGAUGGUC
rnacentral:rRNA from 1 species